GAGUUCUUCUCCUUGAUCGGGACGGCCACUCCGCGGCCGAGAUAACAUCAACACUUGAGGAAAUGGAGUAUGUUGUCUGUUACUGUAGUGAUGAGAAGGAAGCUUUGUCAACAAUUUUGAACACACCGGAAAACAUCCAUGUUGCACUUCUGGAGAUGUGCAAAGGAAAUUAUGAUGAGAGUUUUAAAUUGCUUGGAAGUUCCAAGGACUUGCC